GAAAUGCGUGUUAUGGGUCUACCAAAACCUCCUAUAGUUCACCCGCGUCUCAUAUGUACCUAUAUAGGAGACGCGUAUUAUAAACCCGGGUCUCCAAUGAGUUCAUCAGUCAUCUGGAGACUCGUUGUUUAUACGUGUCUCCUUUGUGGGGCAUAAAAUGAGACGCGUGAGACAAAAAUGCAUCACCAACCUUUAUAGCUCGGACCCGAACUUUUUUAUGAAAUGGCGUUACGCCUAUGCCUCCACGUCCGCCCACACCCAGCACCCCACCCAUCUUCUGUCUCUCUUUCGUCUCUCAUCUCCUCCCUCUCCUCUCUCUAUUUCUCUCGACUCCCUCUGCCUCUCUCGUCUCCUUCGCCACCGGCCCGCUCGGCCUCCUCGGGCCCCCUUCUCUCCCAAAUCCUUGGCGGAGGCCUUCCCCGUCGCCCCUUCUCUCCCACGCUCUACCCC
rnacentral:lncRNA from 1 species